CCCAGUUCGGACUGCAGUCUGCAACCCGGCUGCACGAAGCCGGAAUCGCUAGUAAUCGCGGAUCAGAAUGCCGCGGUGAAUACGUUCCCGGGCCUUGUACACACCGCCCGUCACACCAUGGGAGUCGGUAACACCCGAAGUCGGUAGCCUAACCGUAAGGAGGGCGCCGCCGAAGGUGGGAUUGAUGACUGGGGUGAAGUCGUAACAAGGUACC
rnacentral:rRNA from 1 species